ACAAAGGCUAUGAUAAGAAAGAGUAGCAAUCAUGUAAACAGACAGAAAGUUACCGGCUGAUGAGAGGUGCAUGUUGAACGAUUGUGAAUACGUCUUGGAGCUGUGUACCGAAAAGUGAAGACUUGAGUAGGCUACACCGGUGAAGCACCCGUAAUCAUGUGCUAAAGUAUCGUCAUAUGACUGUACUUUCAAAGGUAGGCAAUGUGAAUUGCUUAUAAAUUAAAGGUGGUAACACGAGAUGAAUCGUCCUUUUG
rnacentral:ncRNA from 1 species